rnacentral:rRNA from 1 species
UACAUGGGGUGCAAACGUUGCUCGGAAUUAUUGGGCGUAAAGCGCACGUAGGUGGUCCGUUAAGUCGGAUGUGAAAGCCCCCGGCUCAACCGGGGAAGUGCAUCCGAAACUGGCAGGCUAGAGUACUAAAGAGGGUCGCGGAAUUCCCGGUGUAGAGGUGAAAUUCGUAGAUAUCGGGAGGAACACCGGUGGCGAAGGCGGCGACCUGGGUAGAUACUGACGCUGAGGCGCGAAAGCGUGGGGAGCAAACGGG